GUGAGGAAUAUUGGUCAAUGGGCGCGAGCCUGAACCAGCCAAGUAGCGUGCAGGAAGACGGCCCUACGGGUUGUAAACUGCUUUUAUGCGGGGAUAAAGUGGGCUACGCGUAGCCCUUUGCAGGUACCGCAUGAAUAAGGACCGGCUAAUUCCGUGCCAGCAGCCGCGGUAAUACGGAAGGUCCGGGCGUUAUCCGGAUUUAUUGGGUUUAAAGGGAGCGCAGGCGGCCUUUUAAGCGUGACGUGAAAUGCCGGGGCUCAACCUUGGAAUUGCGUCGCGAACUGGCGGGCUUGAGUACGCUCGAGGCAGGCGGAAUUCGUGGUGUAGCGGUGAAAUGCUUAGAUAUCACGAGGAACCCCGAUUGCGAAGGCAGCCUGCCGGGGUGUUACUGACGCUCAUGCUCGAAGGUGCGGGUAUCGAACAGG
rnacentral:rRNA from 1 species